CCCUAUUGCUAGUUACCAUCAUUAAGUUGGGGACGUCUAGCGAGACUGCCAGUGAUAAACUGGAGGAAGGUGGGGAUGACGUCAAAUCAUCAUGCCCCUUAUGACCUGGGCUACAAACGUGAUACAAUGGCUGGAACAAAGGGAUGCGAAGCAGUGAUGUGGAGCGAAACCCAUAAAAACAGUCUCAGUUCGGAUUGAAGUCUGCAACUCGACUUCAUGAAGUCGGAAUCGCUAGUAAUCGCGGAUCAGAACGCCGCGGUGAAUACGUUCUCGGGGUUU
rnacentral:rRNA from 1 species